UUCAGGUCCGGGGGUAAAGAGAAGCAUGGAGAUUCUGUGGUGACUUGACGUGGUUAAUCUGGUGGCAGAGUCAUUCUAACAGGUGUGAGGAGAUAUCUCAUUGCGGUUUUGAUUGGCAUUUUCCUGGUGAUUAGUGAUGGGAAAAAAAAAUGUGCUUCACUGGAAAACUCUGUGUUAUCUGGGCCCUUGAGAACACUUUCAGGAUUAUCUGAUUCCAGCCUUUUAUUUCCCUGGAGGUCCUUGCAGCACCCUGUACUGAGAAAGCUGGACUUCAUGCUCACUGUAAAGAAGAACUGCUCCCAGGAAGUCCAUCCUUUGUUCACAGCAUAACAGAUACUGGAGGGUAACGCUGGGGCUGAGAAGCAAUAA